UGGGGAAUUUUGGACAAUGGGCGAAAGCCUGAUCCAGCAAUGCCGCGUGUGUGAAGAAGGCCUUCGGGUUGUAAAGCACUUUUGUCCGGAAAGAAAUCCUUGGCUCUAAUACAGUCGGGGGAUGACGGUACCGGAAGAAUAAGCACCGGCUAACUACGUGCCAGCAGCCGCGGUAAUACGUAGGGUGCAAGCGUUAAUCGGAAUUACUGGGCGUAAAGCGUGCGCAGGCGGUUUGCUAAGACCGAUGUGAAAUCCCCGGGCUCAACCUGGGAACUGCAUUGGUGACUGGCAGGCUAGAGUAUGGCAGAGGGGGGUAGAAUUCCACGUGUAGCAGUGAAAUGCGUAGAGAUGUGGAGGAAUACCAAUGGCGAAGGCAGCCCCCUGGGCCAAUACUGACGCUCAUGCACGAAAGCGUGGGGAGCAAACAGGAUUAGAUACCCUGGUAGUCCACGCCCUAAACGAUGUCAACUAGUUGUUGGGGAUUCAUUUCCUUAGUAACGUAGCUAACGCGUGAAGUUGACCGCCUGGGGAGUACGGUCGCAAGAUUAAAACUUAAAGGAAUUGAC
rnacentral:rRNA from 1 species